rnacentral:rRNA from 1 species
UGCCAGCAGCCGCGGUAAUACAGAGGUCCCAAGCGUUGUUCGGAUUCACUGGGCGUAAAGGGUGCGUAGGUGGCGGAGUAAGUCGGAUGUGAAAUCUCCGAGCUCAACUCGGAAAUGGCAUUGGAAACUACUCUGCUUGAGGGUUGGAGGGGGGACUGGAAUACUUGGUGUAGCAGUGAAAUGCGUAGAUAUCAAGUGGAACACCAGUGGCGAAGGCGAGUCCCUGGACAACUCCUGACACUGAGGCACGAAAGCUAGGGGAGCAAACAGGAUUAGAUACCCUGGUAGUCCUAGCCGUAAACGGUGCACGUUUGCUGUAAAAGGAAUCGACCCCUUUUGUGGCGUAGCUAACGCGUUAAACGUGCCGCCUGGGAAGUACGGUCGCAAGAUUAAAACUUAAAGGAAUUGACGG